rnacentral:rRNA from 1 species
UACGGAGGGUGCGAGCGUUGUCCGGAAUCACUGGGCGUAAAGGGCGCGUAGGUGGCUGCUUAAGCGUGUGGUGAAAGCUCAGGGCUCAACCCUGAGUCGGCCAUGCGAACUGGGCAGCUGGAGCACUGUAGAGGCAGGUGGAAUUCCGGGUGUAGCGGUGGAAUGCGUAGAGAUCCGGAAGAACACCUGAGGCGAAGGCGGCUUGCUGGGCAUGAUCUGACGCUGAGGCGCGAAAGCGUGGGGAGCAAACAGG